GAUGAAGAACGCAGCGAAAUGCGAUAAGUAAUGUGAAUUGCAGAAUUCAGUGAAUCAUCGAAUCUUUGAACGCACAUUGCGCCCCUUGGUAUUCCGAGGGGCAUGCCCGUUCGAGCGUCAUUAUACCCCUCAAGCCUAGCUUGGUGUUGGGGCCUGCUGUUACCGGCAGCCCUUAAAAUCAGUGGCGGUGCCAUCUGGCUCUAAGCGUAGUAAUACUUCUCGCUACAGGGUCCCGGUGGAUGCUUGCCAUCAACCCCUAAUUUUCUAUGGUUGACCUCGGAUCGGGUAGGGAUACCCGCUGAACUUAAACAUAUCAAUAAGCGGAGA
rnacentral:misc_RNA from 1 species